AAAGGAUUAGUUAAUCUAAUAACAUUAGUAUGUCAAGCUAAAAUAAUCAAAAAGAUAUCCUUUU
rnacentral:tRNA from 2 species